UACCUCAGAAAACCACAACAGUCUGUUUCAUACGUAUAGGAUGAUGAUUCCUAUACGGAUGAAACAGACUGUUGUGGUUUUU